GACGAACGCUGGCGGCGUGCCUAAUACAUGCAAGUAGAACGCUGAAGAGAGGAGCUUGCUCUUCUUGGAUGAGUUGCGAACGGGUGAGUAACGCGUAGGUAACCUGCCUUGUAGCGGGGGAUAACUAUUGGAAACGAUAGCUAAUACCGCAUAACAAUGGAUGACACAUGUCAUUUAUUUGAAAGGGGCAAUUGCUCCACUACAAGAUGGACCUGCGUUGUAUUAGCUAGUAGGUGAGGUAAUGGCUCACCUAGGCGACGAUACAUAGCCGACCUGAGAGGGUGAUCGGCCACACUGGGACUGAGACACGGCCCAGACUCCUACGGGAGGCAGCAGUAGGGAAUCUUCGGCAAUGGGGGCAACCCUGACCGAGCAACGCCGCGUGAGUGAAGAAGGUUUUCGGAUCGUAAAGCUCUGUUGUAAGUCAAGAACGGGUGUGAGAGUGGAAAGUUCACACUGUGACGGUAGCUUACCAGAGAGGGACGGCUAACUACGU
rnacentral:rRNA from 1 species